rnacentral:misc_RNA from 1 species
AUAACUACAUUUUUUUUUUCACAUCCAAUAUAACAAUCCCAAAAUUAAUAUACAAACCCUCAAAACCAUAUAUAUAUCUUCUAGAUGUAGCCUAGAAAAUCUAUCUAUUUUUGAAGAACUUAAAUGGUUCUUCAUCUCCAAUGUAUAAAGACUAUGUAACUAUGUAAAACUUGUUUCUUGAUUCUUUACACUACCAUUAUAUGAUAGAAUGAGAAACAAUAUACUAAAACAUGUAUCAUUUUUCAUCAUGUUCUUGUUUAGCGACAUACAGUAUAUACUGUAUACUGUAUAUCGCUAAUGCAUGUUCAUGUUUAGCGACAGAAGUUUUCAGUCGCUAAGUUAGCGACUGAAGUUAUCUGUCGCUAAAACAUGUUCUUGUUUAGCGACAGAUGUUUGUCUGUCGCUAAAUUUAGUUUAUCAGGUAACAAAAUCUGGUAACAAGGGAGCGGCGAACCUCUUCCUGUUUUGAAUGUUGAAGUUUUCGUAGACAUUUGAUGUUGAGUGAGCUGAUGUUGGUGUGUUUAAGCUACCAAACUCAUGAUUUGGUUCACCAAUUUGAACGUUUUGAGUCGGAAUUGGAAGGAAACUGUGGUGUGUUGCUGACAUUGAGAGGUUUUCGUUGUGUGGUAGGCCGAGAGUGAGUGAAACUGUGCCACUAGUUGAGUAUGGUGCUGAGAAUUGCUCGGUGCUAAACCGAGCAAUUUCACCAAUGGGAUAGGCUCCGAAUCCUCCCAUGAAGUUCAUCGGUCCUCCCAUUAGUGAAAAUCCAUCUCUGUCCUGCCUAUCAUCACCAAACUUCAUCGACAUUUGCUCCUCGUUUGGCUUUACAUCCAUGUUGAUAGAUGGAAUGCUGUUUGGUGAAUGCUGCAACAUCUCGUUGCUCCUCGGUUUCUUUGGACUCCCUUGAGUAACGUUGAUGCUUUCGAUAUCUGGUGAUCCAAUCAGGUUGAAACCAGCAGACUGAUUACGGAUGUUCAUACCGAUAGGGGGUAUGGAAGUGGCGUUGGACAUCGGUAUUGAUGAAGCAGGGUUGUCCUGUUUUUGGCUAUCUGAACCAGGGCUUUUGUCUUGUGUAGCAAUGGAUCUUGAUGUUGUUGAAUCUUCGUUUUGUUCGCCUACUUUACUCGUCUUUUCUUGACCCAACGUGUUCUGUUCGUGUUCUUUUAUCUCUUCCAAGUACAUCUCUUCCACCAUUGGUUUCCAAAGACGAACUCGAGCAUUGAUGAACCAAUUCGACACCUGACUCCUAGUUAGCCCUGUUUGUUUUGCUAGCAUCAUUUUGUCUGAAUCCUUGGGAUAAGGAUGGAGGAAAUGUUCAAAAAGCCAAGCGCGGAGAACAGAAACAGCUCGUUCGGGCAAUCCUCUCUGAGGUCUCCAAGCAUUAUGCUGGAUCAUUCCUAAUUGUUGCAAAGCUCUUUGUUGUCUUAGCUGAUUAUCGACGAAUUUGAGCCUUGAACCUUCAAUCUUCCCUCCCAAACUGUCUUCUUCGCCUAACGUCUUGCUUGCUGCUCGUAUUUGACCAAUUAUCGCGUCUUUUAGACACCUAAAUUGCUUCGAAAUCGUCUGCAAUGCCAAUGCUGUAUAUGUUUUUGCUGAUCCAAUACCAGCAGCUUGCUCUAACCAAUUUAUCACAGACUGCAUUUGGUGAUGAUAAUGUCUAUACCUCUGCUCCACCUCGUCAAGCAUGUUGACAAGUUUUGCUUUCUUCAUUUGAAUUUCUUGUCUCUCCGCGGUACUUAGCUCAUUGGUUGGAGCUCCGUCUUUCUCUGCUGGUCCAACUCCGUCUAACUGUACAUCCAUAUCGACCAUAUUUUUCGAUUUUUUGACAUCAUUAUAAACAACAACUUCAGUACUAUUACUACUUUUCAUUGAUUUUCCAACAUUUACAACUUCAUCAAGUAGCUCUUGUGCAGCCUUCAUGUACUUAGAACUCAAAGGAACACUACAAAUGCUCUGUUGUUGUUGUUGUUGCUGCUGUUGUAUCCCCGAAGCCGAACCCGAACCCGUAGGCGAAGAAACAAUCUCACGCGCCGCCGUGAAGCUCCCAAAACUCGGCUGCUGGGAUGAGGACAAGCUAAGGGAAAGCCCUUGUUGCUGCUGCUGAUGAGCGCGUGUGACCUCACGCGCCGCCGUGAUGUCAUUAGCCGGGUUGUAGAACCCGUAUGGAGACGAUCGAGCAAGGAAGCCGUGAAGGCCGGAGAAAGACUCGUUGUUGUUGUUGUUGUUGCCGGAGUCUUGAGAUGGGGCGGUGAAGGCGGCGGUGGCGAGAGGUAUACCGACAAAUUGUUGUUGUUGUGACGGCGGAGGUGGUGGCGCGUGAGAUAAGUUUAUUGAAUUUCCAAGAGGGUUGGAGUUGAAGAAAACUAUGUUACUGCCGCCGCCGCCUUGCGGUGGCGGUGGUGGCGCGUGGUGAUGUUGUGCUUCAGAAAAUCCAACAUAGCCAGGAUUCAUUAGUAUUAGAGUUUGUAAUCCAUCAUUUCCUUCUUGUAUUUCUGAAUUUCCAUGAAAAUAAGAAGCCAUUCUUUUUUUUUAAAUUUUUUUUUCUCCACAAUAAUAUAAACAAAUAACACCAACUAAUCAA